GAUGAACGCUGGCGGCGUGCUUAACACAUGCAAGUCGAGCGAGUGAGUUCUUCGGAACGAUCUAGCGGCGGACGGGUGAGUAACACGUGGGCAACCUGCCUCAUAGAGGGGAAUAGCCUCCCGAAAGGGAGAUUAAUACCGCAUAAAAUUAUCGAGUGGCAUCACACGAUAAUCAAAGGAGCAAUCCGCUAUGAGAUGGGCCCGCGGCGCAUUAGCUAGUUGGUGAGGUAACGGCUCACCAAGGCGACGAUGCGUAGCCGACCUGAGAGGGUGAUCGGCCACAUUGGGACUGAGACACGGCCCAGACUCCUACGGGAGGCAGCAGUGGGGAAUAUUGCACAAUGGGGGAAACCCUGAUGCAGCAACGCCGCGUGAGUGAUGAAGGUCUUCGGAUUGUAAAGCUCUGUCUUUGGGGACGAUAAUGACGGUACCCAAGGAGGAAGCCACGGCUAACUACGUGCCAGCAGCCGCGGUAA
rnacentral:rRNA from 1 species